ensembl:snoRNA U3 Small nucleolar RNA U3
AAGACUAUACUUUCAGGGAUCAUUCCUAGAAUUUGUUACUACAGAAGUUUCUCUGAAUGUGUAGAGUACCCAAAACCAUGAGAAGGAGGUAUAGCAUUCUCUCCUGAGGAUGAAGGUGGCUCUGGGGGUUGCUUCUGCAGCUGUCUUUUGCUGUUGAUGAUCAUUCUUCUCUUCCUUUGGGAGAGCAAGAGGGAGAAAACAAAAACAAA